rnacentral:rRNA from 1 species
CAGUCGCCGCGUUAAUACGUAGGGUGCAAGCGUUAAUCGGAAUUACUGGGCGUAAAGCGUGCGCAGGCGGUUUGUUAAGACAGAUGUGAAAUCCCCGGGCUCAACCUGGGAACUGCAUUUGUGACUGGCAAGCUAGAGUGUGGCAGAGGGGGGUGGAAUUCCGCGUGUAGCAGUGAAAUGCGUAGAUAUGCGGAGGAACACCGAUGGCGAAGGCAGCCCCCUGGGCCAACACUGACGCUCAUGCACGAAAGCGUGGGGAGCAAACAGGAUUAGAUACCCCGGUAGUCCCUGUCUCUUAUAC